GAUAACGGCGUCGAGCGGCGGACGGGUGAGUAAUGCCUAGGAAAUUGCCCUGAUGUGGGGGAUAACCAUUGGAAACGAUGGCUAAUACCGCAUGAUGCCUACGGGCCAAAGAGGGGGACCUUCGGGCCUCUCGCGUCAGGAUAUGCCUAGGUGGGAUUAGCUAGUUGGUGAGGUAAGGGCUCACCAAGGCGACGAUCCCUAGCUGGUCUGAGAGGAUGAUCAGCCACACUGGAACUGAGACACGGUCCAGACUCCUACGGGAGGCAGCAGUGGGGAAUAUUGCACAAUGGGCGCAAGCCUGAUGCAGCCAUGCCGCGUGUAUGAAGAAGGCCUUCGGGUUGUAAAGUACUUUCAGUCGUGAGGAAGGCGGCGUCGUUAAUAGCGGCGUUGUUUGACGUUAGCGACAGAAGAAGCACCGGCUAACUCCGUGCCAGCAGCCGCGGUAAUACGGAGGGUGCGAGCGUUAAUCGGAAUUACUGGGCGUAAAGCGCAUGCAGGUGGUUUGUUAAGUCAGAUGUGAAAGCCCGGGGCUCAACCUCGGAAUAGCAUUUGAAACUGGCAGACUAGAGUACUGUAG
rnacentral:rRNA from 1 species